rnacentral:tRNA from 1 species
GGGGCAGUAGCUCAGCUGGCUAGAGCGUCGCGUUCGCAAUGCGAAGGUCGGGAGUUCGAAUCUCCUCUGCUCCA